GAUGAACGCUGGCGGUGUGCCUAAUACAUGCAAGUCGAGCGAACGGACGAGAAGCUUGCUUCUCUGAUGUUAGCGGCGAACGGGUGAGUAACGCGUGAGUAACCUACCUUGGAGUGGGGGACAACAGUUGGAAACGACUGCUAAUACCGCAUAAGCUCACGAUCCGGCAUCGGCUUGAGGGAAAAGGGGUUAUUCUCUCUAGGAUGGACUCGCGUCCACUUAGUUAGUUGGUGAGUUAACGGCCCACCAAGGCGACGAUUGAUAGCCGGGCUGAGAGGUAGAGCCGCGACUUUGGCGCUAGGAAACAGUCGAGAAUCCUACGGAAGGGAGGAGUGGGGGAUAUUGCAACGUGGGGGAAGCCAUGAUGGAGCGAGGACGGGUGGAGGAAGAAGGUUGGGGGAUAGUAAACUCCUGUCGUCAGUGACGAUAAUGACGGUACCUAACAAGAAAGCACCGGCUAACUACGUG
rnacentral:rRNA from 1 species